GGGAGAGCUGGAGACAAAGGAGCUACAGAUCCGAGAAAUCCAGUGAGUUUGGAGCCUUGGAGCUGCCAUACUCUCAUUAUUAUUGGAAUUGGCCAGGUGAUCCCUUUUUAGGGAAAAAGAUGGCGAGCUUCUGAAAACUGGCUGGAGCCAGGAGAGCCUUAAGAAUCACUCCACAGUGGACUGGUCUGUAUCAUUUCCCCCCUCCAUCUCACCACUCAGGCAUACACUCCAUUAUUCACCUCUUCAUCUGAAAC